rnacentral:rRNA from 1 species
GACGAACGCUGGCGGCGUGCUUAACACAUGCAAGUCGAACGGAAAGGCCCUGCUUUUGUGGGGUGCUCGAGUGGCGAACGGGUGAGUAACACGUGAGUAACCUGCCCUUGACUUUGGGAUAACUUCAGGAAACUGGGGCUAAUACCGGAUAGGAGCUCCUGCUGCAUGGUGGGGGUUGGAAAGUUUCGGCGGUUGGGGAUGGACGCGCGGCUUAUCAGCUUGUUGGUGGGGUAGUGGCUUACCAAGGACUUGACGGGUAGCCGGCCUGAGAGGGUGACCGGCCACAUUGGGACUGAGAUACGGCCCAGACUCCUACGGGAGGCAGCAGUGGGGAAUAUUGCACAAUGGGCGGAAGCCUGAUGCAGCAACGCCGCGUGCGGGAUGACGGCCUUCGGGUUGUAAACCGCUUUCGCCUGUGACGAAGCGUGAGUGACGGUAAUGGGUAAAGAAGCACCGGCUAACUACGUG